UAGGGAAUCUUCGGCAAUGGGGGGAACCCUGACCGAGCAACGCCGCGUGAGUGAAGAAGGUUUUCGGAUCGUAAAGCUCUGUUGUUAAGGAAGAACGAGUGUGAGAAUGGAAAGUUCAUGCUGUGACGGUACUUAACCAGAAAGGGACGGCUAACUACGUGCCAGCAGCCGCGGUAAUACGUAGGUCCCGAGCGUUGUCCGGAUUUAUUGGGCGUAAAGCGAGCGCAGGCGGUUAGAAAAGUCUGAAGUGAAAGGCAGUGGCUCAACCAUUGUAGGCUUUGGAAACUGUUUAACUUGAGUACAGAAGGGGAGAGUGGAAUUCCAUGUGUAGCGGUGAAAUGCGUAGAUAUAUGGAGGAACACCGGUGGCGAAAGCGGCUCUCUGGUCUGUAACUGACGCUGAGGCUCGAAAGCGUGGGGAGCGAACAGG
rnacentral:rRNA from 1 species